UUACUACUCCCUCCGUCCGAAAAUACUUGUCAUCAAAAUGGAUAAAAAUAGAUGUAUCUAAAACUAAAAUACGUCUAGAUACAUUUCCUUUUAUCCAUUUUGAUGACAAGUAUUUCCGGACGAAGGGAGUAUUUG
rnacentral:pre_miRNA from 1 species